CCGCGCUGAAAACCUUCCGGGCGGCCGCGGAAAAAAGAAGGUUCCGGCCCGCGCUCCCUGCGGCUCACUCGAGAGUUAACAUCGUCACCCCCGCGCCAACCCAAAGAGGUCUAUUUGGACUAUUUUAAGUUCAGGGUAACUGAACUUCCCUGCACUCUGGGAGAGCACCAUAUCACAAUGAAAAGGGCUGCAAAGACUUCAUUCAUCAGUACUCAUCGAGAAGCCCUGCAGAGCUUCAAGUUAUAUGUGAAUGAACUGUAAAAGGGAGGCCUUCAUCACCAUUCUGCUCUUCAGGAUCUGGCAUGGUGUUUUAAUGGUUGGGGAAGAUCUUAAUUCGAUAAAAAAUACUUUGUUUUCAUUGGAAUUAAACCACGGUAAUGAGAAAGCUUCAAUCGUAGUCUUUGUGGAGGCUUUAAAGCUCUUCCUGCAACUUAUAAAUGAUAGAACACACAUGGAACACACAUUGCAGUUCGGACGAUGCACAGGAACUCAGCUAGUAGCUCCAUCACGUAUCUUCUGCACAUCAAGUACUUUUUCCCACACUAAUGAACACUCCCCUCCUUACUGUCCGUUAUAUUGUCAGCCAGGUUUCAAAACUACAAUGUCACAAAGUAUUUGUAUUGAAUGCUUAUUGCCCUAUUAUGUUUCAUGGGGUGGGAUCCUUAUCCUUCCACAGUCUUAAAAUUAGGCUUACAUAGGAUGUAAAUGGUAAACUAUUCAUAGGCACGCUAAUCCAGGAGUGCAGAAAGCCUCGGGCCUAUUAUAAAUUCCAGUAUCAAAUGUUGCAAUACUACAAAUAAAAAGAUAAUGAUAGCAAACCCAGAAACAAAACUAUUUUUUGUAUUUUGGUAUUUUGAGUCACACAUGUGAUUAGUAAUGAAUAAAAUGAACUGCUGUUUCCCUACUGUGACAUUUAUACCAAAAUAUUUGUGCAGGCAAAAAAGCCUGGAAUGUUUUUGCAUUAACAAACUGGCAAAGCAGAGCCCAUACUUUGUGUGACAGCGCAGCAACUGUUCUCAGGUAUUACACAGUAACACAACCCAUAUAUUUUAAUUAUUCAAAGUGAAAUGCAUGGUUUUCCACAGUGGCCCUGUUCCUGCCUAAACUAAACUGCUUUCACUGAAAUCAGCAGACAAUACCUCUUGGAAUGAGGCAAAUGGCUGAUUCCUAUAUUGCUAUUGAGAAUUACUGGUUUUUUUAAUCUCCUUCCCAGUGUGCCAAAGGUGUAUAUGCCUUAGUCUGCCUCUGUGCCACCUUACCAAAAAUGUAACUCUGCAUAAAGGGUAAAAACAGGGAGUGGGGGAAGAGUCCUGGGCUAUCGCUGCACACAGAAGAGCUAGCAAUCAGGAAACUUCACUCUAUCUUUAAAAAUGCUGGGCAGGAGCACUUGCCACCAGCUUCUCUGGAUCACGUGUAGUCCACAUGUCUGAACGCUGGGCCAGCACUCAUCUCCCUGCGUCAUCCUCCUGUCGUUGUUUCUCUCUCCUCUGAGGCAUCAACCAUUCUUCCCGAACGAAGGGUCAGCCCUUCAGAGCAGGCUCUGCCGGGGCUCAGACGCACGGCUGAAUCACCGCCACUGGAGGAGUCAGCUGAGCUGUGCACUGCUCACCCUGUGUGCAUGUGAAGUAAAAAGCCUUCCACCGAAGUUUAAGCUAAGACAUUUACUCAGCUCACAGGCAACGUGUGGCCCCACACAGACUCACCCUGGGGUAGCUAGCUUGACUCCGUGCUUCAGUCUGAGCAUGGACAACUGUUGCUUUGCAGUGUUUCAUCAUGCCAGUGAUGUCUGUUAGUCCUGGGGCUCUUUUUGGCUGGGAGCAUCUCAAAACCAGGGUUAGGGGUGAUUUCCCGCCUCAUGACUUGGGCCAGCUGUACCUUACGUACUUUUGUGGUGGUAAAGCAUGCUCACUUCCAGACCAGAUGGUACAAAGCACCGUUUGUGUAAGUAAUAAUCAGACCCAGUAACUUCAGAGCUAAAAACCAGCCCCACUUCAGCAGUGUUGUGUAAGGGUUACCUUUGCUGGGCUUUUAACACAGAUGGUACAUUAAUGUUUUACUGUAACAUUUUCUCUUGAAGAACAUCCUAGCAAUAAACACCUCAAGAUGAAUAGUUCUCAACUGAUGGCUAAUACACAACAAUCGGAGAAGCCAGCAGCAGGAAAACAAUCCCCUGUGAUGAUAAUUGGUGUAUAUUACA